GACGAACGCUGGCGGCGUGCUUAACACAUGCAAGUCGAACGGUAAGGCCCUUCGGGGUACACGAGUGGCGAACGGGUGAGUAACACGUGGGUGAUCUGCCCUGCACUUCGGGAUAAGCCUGGGAAACUGGGUCUAAUACCGGAUAGGACCACUGCCUGCAUGGGUGGUGGUGGAAAGCUUUUGCGGUGUGGGAUGGGCCCGCGGCCUAUCAGCUUGUUGGUGGGGUGAUGGCCUACCAAGGCGACGACGGGUAGCCGGCCUGGGAGGGUGACCGGCCAGACUGGGACUGGGAUACGGCCCAGACUCCUACGGGAGGCAGCAGUGGGGAAUAUUGCACAAUGGGCGCAAGCCUGAUGCAGCGACGCCGCGUGAGGGAUGACGGCCUUCGGGUUGUAAACCUCUUUCAGCACCGACGAAGCGCAAGUGACGGUAGGUGCAGAAGAAGGACCGGCCAACUACGUGCCAGCAGCCGCCGUAA
rnacentral:rRNA from 1 species